rnacentral:rRNA from 1 species
CUCGUAGUUGAAGUUCUGGCUGUAUUGGGCCUUUUGCACUAGAUGCGAAGGAACCAGCAGUCAUCCGCUUGCAAAUACAUGUCCUUCCUUAACCGGUAGGCUGUAUAAGUAAGCACUUUACCUUGAAGAAAACAGAGUGUUCCAGGCAGGUUUUGUCCGGAAUGCGUUAGCAUGGAAUAAUAGAAUAUGACUGAAGUCGUAUUUAUUGGUUUAAGGCUUUAGUAAUGAUUAAUAGGAACAAUCGGGGGCAUUGGUACUUGUCAGUCAGAGGUGAAAUUCUAGGAUUUGACAAAGACUAACUGAUGCGAAAGCGUUUGCCAAGAAUGUUUUCAUUAAUCAAGAACGAAAGUUAGGGGAUCAAAGACGAUCAGAUACCGUCCUAGUCUUAACUAUAAACUAUACCGACUCGGAUUCAGAUGAAUAUUAAAGUUCAUUUGGGACCGUAGGAGAAAUCAAAGUCUUUGGGUUCUGGG